GCCGUCUUAGUUCAGUGGUAGAACGGUUGCAUGGUAAGCAACAAACACAAGUUCGAUUCUUGUAGGUGGCACCA
rnacentral:tRNA from 1 species